rnacentral:rRNA from 1 species
UACAGAGGUCCCAAGCGUUGUUCGGAUUCACUGGGCGUAAAGGGUGCGUAGGUGGCCAGGUAAGUUCGGUGUGAAAGCUCGGAGCUUAACUCCGAAAUGUCAUUGAAUACUAUCUGGCUGGAGGGUCGGAGGGGAGACUGGAAUUCUCGGUGUAGCAGUGAAAUGCGUAGAUAUCGUAAGGAAGACCAGUGGCGAAGGCGGGUCUCUGGACAGUUCCUGACACUGAGACACGAAGGCCAGGGGAGCAAACGGG